GAGCUCUCUCUGGCAGCACAUCUAGUAAAAUUGGGACGAUACAGAGAAGAUUAGCAUGGUCCUUGUACAAGGGUGGGACAUAAACUCAGGAAGCAUUCAAUAUCUAU